GGUGAGAUGGCCGAGCGGUCUAAGGCGCUAGACUCAAGCAUACUUCUGAGCGUAGCUCGGGUGUCUUCUAGUAUCGAAAGAUGCGGGGGUUCGAAUCCCCCUCUCAUCA